CCUACGGGGCGCAGCAGUGGGGAAUAUUGCACAAUGGGCGCAAGCCUGAUGCAGCCAUGCCGCGUGUAUGAAGAAGGCCUUCGGGUUGUAAAGUACUUUCAGCAGUGAGGAAGGUUCAUGCGUUAAUAGCGUAUGGAUUUGACGUUAGCUGCAGAAGAAGCACCGGCUAACUCCGUGCCAGCAGCCGCGGUAAUACGGAGGGUGCGAGCGUUAAUCGGAAUUACUGGGCGUAAAGCGCAUGCAGGUGGUUUGUUAAGUCAGAUGUGAAAGCCCGGGGCUCAACCUCGGAAUUGCAUUUGAAACUGGCAGACUAGAGUACUGUAGAGGGGGGUAGAAUUUCAGGUGUAGCGGUGAAAUGCGUAGAGAUCUGAAGGAAUACCGGUGGCGAAGGCGGCCCCCUGGACAGAUACUGACACUCAGAUGCGAAAGCGUGGGGAGCA
rnacentral:rRNA from 1 species